CUCGCUGAGUUUAAGCAUAUGAAUAAGCGAAGGAAAAGAAACUUACAAGGAUUCCCUUAGUAACGACAAGCAAACAGAGAAGAGCCUAGCUUGAGAAUUGGGCAUCGUUGAUGUAUGAAUUGUAGUUUAGAGAUGCAUCCUCAGCAGCGGAUCGAGCAUAAGUUCUCUAGAAGGGGGCGCUAGAGAUGGUGAAAGCCUCGUUGCACUCGAACCCUAUCGCACCACGAGUUGUUGUCAACGAGUCGGAUUGUUUGGGAAUGCAGUCCCAAUCAGGCGGUAAAUUCUAUCCAAGGCUAAAUAUGGGUGAGAGAUUGAUAGUAAACAAGUAUCGUAAGAGAAAGAUGAAAAGGACUUUGGAAAGAGUAAAAUAGUGCUUGAAAUUGUCGAGAGGGAAGCGGAUAAGGGCCGGUAAUGUGCCUCAGUUUGAUGUGGAACGAUGACGAGUCGGUCCGUCAAUCAACUUGGGUAUGGACUAAUGUGGUUUAAGAUGGCGGCUUACGCCCAGGUCUUUGUUAUGCCUGUGGAGACGUCAUCGUUCUGAUCGUGGUUGGUAGCACGCCUUUUGGCGAGCUUCAACAUUUGCAACUCCUGGCAUCGACCUAUAGGCUCCCCAUUUAACCCGUCUUGAAUCACGA
rnacentral:ncRNA from 1 species